GCCGAAUUUAGUCACAUGUCUCCAUCUCAGUGAACAGAAGACUAGAAAACAUCAAGGAGCACAGAAAUAUUUCUACUAGCAGUUUCUGUUAUAGACCUUUGUUUUGGCAUAUAUGCAUUAACUUUGUUCUUUCUAUAUAGGGGAUUGAGCUGAAUAGUGCUCUUGGAAUAAAGAUGAAACAAAGACAGAGCUACUGGAAUAAUUCCUGCCAAGGGAAAUGCUGUGAGAUGACUGGUGCUGAUGCAGAGAUAAUGAAAUACUGAAAGCCCCAAACAACAGAAAUGUCUGUAACUGGUAAUGGGCAUCCUCCUUCAGUUUAUUAACUCCAGCUGUGCAUGUUGACUAUUUUUGUGAAGAGGUGCCACAUGAGACGAAUACUGAAUGGGAAAAACAGGAUCUGAUGUCAGAAACAACUGAUCACAUGAAGCCUGUAUUACAAGACAGGCUGAGGAAACUGACCCUGCUACCCACCACCACCUUGAAGCACAUCCCUGUGUUCAUCAGGAUAAAAUGUGACCAAUCUUUGGAGGCUAAAAUCAAAAGGCUCCAAAGAAGUAUAGUUACAAGAAGAAAGGAGGGAGAAUCCCUUGAAGCAUCGCUUAGAGGAGAGCCACUAGGAGAGCUGUCCAUGAAGACAGCUCUAUUGAAUGCUGUGUGAAAUAAAGUUAAUACCCAAAACUUGAAGAUUUCAAAGUUUACACUGCGUUCUAUAUCCCAUGCUUAUCAUUAUUUACAUGCUUUUCAUGAAGAAUCUAAGGUGUAGAGAUGUGAAGAACUUGUGCAAGGACACAUUCAACAGUAGAAUAAGUACAGAGUAAGUCUGGCAUCAAAGCCUAUGUCUCUUCCAUUAUAAAAAUCAGUACUGUCACUUUAAUUAUAAAAAUGUAUAUAUUAUUAUCUAAUAAUAAAGCUUGGUAAAAAAUUAAAAACUCAACUAAUGGG
rnacentral:lncRNA from 1 species